UGAUAGCCUGAUUAUCCAGCCCUUUUUUUAAAGCUUGACUUGUUGCUGCCCUCUUUUCAAACUUGGCAAAUCCGCAUCUAGCAUCUGUGGUUAGAUGCAGUAUGCUGAUUUGAGACACAACGGUGAAAAACAACAGUAAUCCUGCAGAAAUAAAAUCCCCCUCAUCCAAAUCCGCACACGUACAUGCAUGCGUAAAACCCACAUUCACUUUUUUCUAAACAACUAAAUCAGCGAGAACGUGUGUGUCCUUUCAUAGUCUUGUCUGGACAUGUCUCACAGGAAUGUGUGUUAUGUAUUGUGGCGGACAGACAGGGGUUCUUUGGUUGUUCAUGCACCACCUAUCAACACAAAGUCCAAGAGGCUAUUGCCCCCAAGCCUAUAUCCACCACCACCCUCACCAGCACUACCCUCAGCGUGGGAAAACCACACUGGAAUGUCUUUAAGAGACACAGCAGCUCAAAUAAACAAGCUUCCUCUUCUACAGUGUCAGCCUGUUUUACCAUGGGAACAACAUGGCCUACAUACCCGGGGUGCAGUGCUGUGGGUCAUCUUCUCUCACUGAUGGUCAACAAGUUAAAGGUCAAUGUGUAGGGUCAAUACUGGGCUGACCUCUAUAAUGCUGUGAACCUCCAGGUUUUUUGUUACCCUGUGAUCCACAAGUCCCUCAUUUCCAAAGAGUAGAGGUACUCACACACACAAACACACACACUGGAGGGUAUAAAUCAUGUCCUAUUUUGGUGAUGCCAUAUUUGAGUCAUAGUUUCUAUGAAGGUAUUGCCACAGCCAUCUCUCUCACCAGCUCUGUGGCAAGGUUUCACCAAAAGCAGACAACACCCACAUUUGGCUUUCCCGAAAUGAUACGGUGUAGCCUGGUAGCAAAGAGAACAUGCGCAUGUGUGUUUAUGAGAGGGAGGAGGUUGGUGAGGUUUGUAAAGAGGGUGUAGUUCACCCUCCACCCUUUUCCCUCUGUGCCUGAGUGCACGAUGCACUCAUUUGUUUUAAUAACUGGAAGAACUCCAACUAUUAAACUAAGCGGGUCCAUGCGUAAUCCUUAGUGCUACCCCGGUGUGACACACAGGAGCAUUUAACACUCCUCAUAUCCUGCUUAUAUGGAGAAACAGCGGCUGCAUCCGGAGAAAGAUGGAGGAGGAAAUGGAAAGGGAAAUCUUGAGCAGAUCUGAAUGUGUACUCCAGACACCUAUCAGAAAUCCAUUAUAACCACUUAAAAUGUGACUACAUUAGUGCUGGAAGAAGAGAUCAGAUACAACAAUGAAGUAUCAAAAGUAAAAGUACUCAUUAUGUAUACAAAUGGUCCAUUUGACUUUGAUUUAUUAUUAUAGCUGACAUUAGAGUGAUAAAACUGAUACAUCAGUGUCUAAGCAUUUCCCUUUGAAAUGUUGUGGAGUAGAAGUAUAAUAAUAAAGUCACAUAAAAUAGAAAAACUCAAGUGUAAGUACCAUAAAAUUGUACAUUAAAAAAAGUACAUUAUUUCCACCACCAAUUUGCAUACUUUUUUUAUGCCUGCCUAUCAAUAACAACUGUACAAAAUCCCCAUCCAGUGUCAUAAGAUUUCUUUCCAUUGCACUAGUAGUAAUACCUUUAUCCUUUUUGGUAAUCGUUCUGUGCAACUUUCUUUAGUAUAAUAAUUAUCAUCCAAACCUCCUCCGUGUAAUCAGAGGACACUUGGGCAGAGUCACUGGUGUUUAGGCUAAGCCAUCAUUUGGUACGCACGUAAUCAGAGACUAAAAUAAUCUGUUUAUAACAUGACUACUAAUUUACCACAGAGUGACGCCAGCCACACGACUCCCUGCAUCGCUGUGUGGUCAGGCUGAAACACACCAGCACACACACUUGGUUUAGGAUGCUGUAGAUAGAAUUUAGUGCAUUUAUGUGUCUAGGGUGUGUGUGUGUGUGUAGUUGGCAGCUCAGAGCACUGUGGAAAGGUCUCGAGGGUGAGAGGUUUUUCCAGCCAGACCUAGAGGCAGCCAAUGUCCCACAUACGUCUAGUUUCCUGAGGCGGAAAACAACAAGCUGACUAACUGACUGACCUUCUAUGUACAUUUAAUGUGAUGCAGACCGCAUUGUCCCAUGUGUCACAGUCCUGAGUUGUUUGAUUCAUUUCAAGCACUUUUUGGUAAAAAGUAAAAAAAUAUAUCGUGCACCACCUGUUUAACCACAGCAACGAACCAGGGAAUGGUACACUUCAAGCUUUUGUCACUUUCCUGGGUAUAACUUGGGAU
rnacentral:lncRNA from 1 species